rnacentral:piRNA from 1 species
UGACAGAUGGCUGAAUCUCGCUUACGA